rnacentral:sRNA from 1 species
UUGACUUGAAUUGGCUUACCUUUUUUCGC